rnacentral:snRNA from 9 species
GCCGAGACCUUCGUGCAGGAGUGCUUGGACAAGGACGACAUUAGUUGGAUCCCCGAUGGCAUCGCCUUGCAGAUCCCAAGGAUUGACAUGGACUUGGAGAGGGAGAAAAGAAUGGACGAAAUGUUCAGGGGCUUGAGGGAAAGAAGCGACGGCGUCCAGGAGGUAUUGAGUGGGGAGAUAGGGAAAGUCAGCUUGAUGU